GACGAACGCUGGCGGCGUGCUUAACACAUGCAAGUCGAACGGUGAAGCGCCUUCCUUUUUGGUGGGUGUGGAUGAGUGGCGAACGGGUGAGUAACACGUGAGUAACCUGCCCCCUUCUUCUGGAUAACCGCAUGAAAGUGUGGCUAAUACGGGAUAUUCUGGGUCUGUCGCAUGAUGGGUCUGGGAAAGAUAUUGUUUCGGUGGGGGAUGGGCUCGCGGCCUAUCAGCUUGUUGGUGGGGUGAUGGCCUACCAAGGCGGUGACGGGUAGCCGGCCUGAGAGGGUGGACGGUCACACUGGGACUGAGACACGGCCCAGACUCCUACGGGAGGCAGCAGUGGGGAAUAGUGCACAAUGGGCGCAAGCCUGAUGCAGCGACGCCGCGUGAGGGAUGGAGGCCUUCGGGUUGUGAACCUCUUUCGCCAGUGAAGCAGGACUGCCUCGUUUGUGGGUGGGUUGACGGUAGCUGGAUAAGAAGCGCCGGCUAACUACGUG
rnacentral:rRNA from 1 species